UACUUCCUGUUCCUCUUAGUGAGAAUGAAGAGACAGUGGAGCGUAGGGCGGCCAAAGCUCUCCUUUGUUUACGUAGAGAGGGCAAAAGUAGAUGGUUUUUCUUCAAGUGUGAGGACUAGACACAAGAGCAACCCUGCUGCUUCGAGAGAAGAUACUUUCAGCAUAGGAUGUGAUCCCUCCUAACAGAAAACUCACUGCCAGCCCCCUGCCUCAGAAACUGCUGUUGUGAGCAACCAGCCUGAGUAAAAUCAGGAAUCCUAAUUGGUCUUAUAAAAACCCGGAGCCAGAUAUCAGGGUGACAGUGGAAAGAUCAGAGAAGCAGAGCAAGCCACAGCCAUCACCUCUUACCUCACCAACUCCUCAGCCUGAAAGAACCUGAGUUCCUGUCUCCUCCUGCCUUAUAUUCCUUUCAUUGCCCAGCCAUAUCACUUCCUGUCUUAACCUUCCUCGUGGUGGGAUCAAAGGUGUGUGAUCCCAAGUGCUGGAAUAAAAGGUGUGUGCCUCCACUGCCUGGCUCUGUUUCUCUUUUAGACUGGAGUAAUCUCAUGUAGCCCAGUGUGGCCUUGAACUCACAGAAAUCCAGACGGAUCUCUGCCUCUGCCUCCUGAGUGCUAGGAUUAAAGGUGUGUGCCACCACUGCCUGACCUCUAAUCUAAUCUAGUGGUUUCUUCUGUCCUCUCAUCCUCAGGGAAAUUUUAUUUGUUCAAAAUAUCAUCACACCUGACUUCAAGAUUAUUAGAGAGCUAAAGUAAUCAAAUUAGCGUGGAACUGGCACAGAUGUGUAGACCAAUAGAAUUAAAUAGAAGACCAAAGCAUGAGUAUCCAUAAUUAUAGCUGUCCGAUCGAUAUUUGACAGAGUCAAAAAACAUGCUGAACAAAAGACAGCAUCUUCAACAAAUGGUGCUUGGGAAAUGGAUGCCCACCCUCAGAAGAAUGAAAUUAGACCCGUAUCUAUCACCCUGAACAAAAAUUAGAUCCAAGUGGAUCGGAUCAAAGGCCUCAAUCUGAAACCUGAAACCCUAAAACUACUAGAAGAAAACAUGGGCAGUACCUACAGGACAUAUGUGUAGGGAGGACUUCCUGAACGGGAUUCCACUUGCCAAGGAAUUAAGGCCAACAAUUGAUAACUGGGAUCUCAUAAAACUAAAAAGUUUCUUUACAGCCAAGGAAACAACCAAGUGAGGAAGAACCCCACAGAAUGGGAGAGAGUACUUGCCAGAUACACAUCUGACAGAGGAUUGAUAUCUAGAAUAUACACAGAAUUUAAAAAAAAAAAAAAAAGGUCUAGGAAGCAAAUAACCCAAUUGAAAAAUGGCUUAAGAAGAUCUAAAUAGAGUUCUCCAUAGAAGAAAUAAAAAGCGAAGAAAUACCUCAGAAAGUGUUCAUCAUCCCUAGCAGGUAGGGAGGUGUAAAUUAAAACAACUGUGAUAUUUUCUCUCACCCCAGUCAGAAUGGCUAAGAUCUAUAAAACAACAGGCUACAAAUGCCGGUGAAUCUGUGAAGAAAGAAGAACUUUCAUUUGAUGUUUCAGGAAUGCAAGUUGGUGCAGCCUCUGUGGAAAUCAGUAUGGAGCAUCCUCACAAAACUAAACGCUGAAUCUAUCACAUGACCCAGCUAUACCAUUCCUUAGCAUAUGCCCAAAUGACUGGGCAUCCUAGUCCACAGAUACUCGCUCAGCAACGUUCACUGCUGCCCUGUUCACAAUAGCCAGGGAAUGGCAACAACCUAAAUGUUCUUCCACAGAUAAUGAGAAUGUGGCACAAAUACAUGUGUCAUGCUCAGCUGAGCCUUCACCCACAAACCACAAUGCAAUUUUUUUUUGUUGGGUUUUUGUUUUGUUUUGGUUUGGUUUUUUUGGGACUUGAAGUAGUCCCCAUGUUCAAGUACAACCCCUUCCUGAAUUUUCUCCUUCUUCUAUCUUGCUCUUUAUUUCUCAUUGUGAAAAUUGUUAGUUAGAACAAUUCAUCCAGCUACCAAACACUGAGAAAAUUCUUUUAAUUCACAGAAUCUUUUAUAGAUCUAGUUUGGUCCAGCCAAAAAUAAGGAAACAAGAAAUACUUGGCUACCUGGUACUUGUUUUCAUGUUCCAAUGAAACCAAAUUACUUAAAACAUUGAAAACGUCCAAGUAAUUCACCCCACCUUUUCUGAAUUAUACUAGAGAACCAGAGAAUAUUCAUGUAAUAAAAUUCUUUUGUUUAGCUGAGAUUUAUGGAAAAAAAUUCUCUUUAUUUAGGUCCUAUCAUGUCAAGAUUAGAUUCAGUCACGGCAACAGGAAAUUCCAAAUAAUAGAGGCUGAAACAUGUGGAGAUCUAUUUUGUCACCUGUAAGAAAUCCAGAUGUGGUCAUCCAAGCAUGGGACGACAGCUCUGCCAUACAGGAGAGAUUCAAUUUCUUGUAUUAAUGAUUCACCCUGGUUCAAGCUGCUUCACGUUGUUUAAAUUAUCUUUCAUCCAUGCUCCUGUGAGCAGCUCACUGGGACACACACACACACACACACACACACACACACACACUGGAAGAGGGACUACUUGGGAAAAGGAAGGUGAUCAGCUGAGGUGGGAAGGAAAUAAGAGAGGGUAAUGGGGAUCCGUAUGAUCAAAAUACAUUAUACACACACGUGUUAAAACUCUUCCUUAGUGUAAUACAUUAUUAUAUAUAAUUAAUAUAUUCUAACAGACACAUGAAAGGAGGCUGAAGUUGUAGCUGGUGUCAGAUUCUAGGUCGGAAGCAGGAAAGGUAAAGGAGAGACCAGCUUUCCUGAGCUGUUUCUUCUGGAGACCCCUGCCAGCUUCCUGGAGGAGACCCCUGCCAGCUUCCUGGAGACCCCUGCCAGCUUCCUGGAGACCCCUGCCAGCUUCCUGGAGACCUCUACCAGCAGCCUAACAGCUCUGGGCUCCAUCUCAUUGGCCAGAACUUAGUCACAUGGCUGCACACAAUCAACGGAAGUUGGGAAAUGGGUUUGUUUUCAAAUGUAGGACCAUACUUACCUCGGUAAUAUAAAGUUUAUCUUGAUUAAAAGUAAAGUUAAAAAUAAGGAGCUGGGGUGAAUGGGUGGGUACUAAUCAUCCAUCCCACAAAUGUCAGCUCUUGUUGCUUGGGAAGUCCCAAAUGCACUGGUGUAAAAAAAGGAUAGGACCUAAUACACCUAAAAAAAAUUAAGUUUUUUUUUAAUUUUAUUUUAUGUGUAUGGAUGUUUUGCCUACAUGCGUAUCACCUUAUGUACAAUAUCCACAGAGACCAGAAGAGGGCAUCAGAACUUCUAGAACUGGAGGUACAGAUUGUUGUGAGUCACCAAGUGGGUGCUGGGAAUAGAACUGAGGUCCUUUGCAAGAGCAACUAGUGCUCUUAUCUGCUGAACUAUCUUUCCAGCAAUUUUUGUUUUAUUUUUACGCGUGUGUGUGUGUGUGUGUGUGUGUGUGUGUGUGUAUGUUAAUUGUGCGUGUGCAUAUAACAGUGCCUGAGGAGACCAGAAGAGGACCUCAGAUCCCCUGGAACUGCAUUAUAUGGAGAGGUGAGCUGCCCCAGCACACAGAAGAGAAACAGAUUAUAUAUAAUUUGUAUUUUAAGGUUCUGGAUAGGUGGGAAUCAAAUUGAUAUUACCACCCCACCACCACCUCUUUUCCACUAUUCUAUAAAACAAGCCUAGCAAGCUCUUCAUCCAAGACACCCAAGUAUUCUAGUUUGCUUUCUGCUACUGUGACAAACUUGGGGACAACUUGUGACAACUUGGGGAGGAAAGGGCUUAUUUCAUUUUACAGAUUGUCGUCUGGUGUUUUAUAUCUGUGGCACAGCAGCUGCACCUGAUCCUAU